GCGGGCACGGUGACGCAUGCCUGUAGCCCCAGCUACUCAGGAAGCUGAGGUGGGAGGAUCGCUUGAGGAGUGCUGGGCUGUGCCAAUCUGGUGUCUGCACUAAGUUCAGUAUCAAUAUGGUGACCUCCCAAGAGCGGGGAACCACCAGGUUCCCUAAGGAGGGGUAAAGCGGCCCAGGUUGGAAACGGAGUAGGUCAAAACUCCCAUGCUGAUCAGGAGUGGGAUCACGCUUGUGAAUAGCCACAGCACUCCAGCCUGGAUAACAUAGCGAGACCCCAUCUCAA
ensembl:misc_RNA Metazoa_SRP Metazoan signal recognition particle RNA